AGCCGAAGUCAGACGCUCAACUGACUGAGCCACCCAGGCGCCCCUAGAUACCCCAAAUUUUAAUGUGAAAUCUUCUGAUUUUUAAAUGUUGGCACAAUUAAAGAGAAACACACACGUGUGUGUGAGGCAAACAAAACGUCCUUGGGCCAGGUUCAGCCCUGUGAGUUACCAGUUGGUGACACUGAGUCUAGAUAAUCUGAACUGCAGGAUCUCUAGGUGAAUAAGACCAACUGAUUUGUUUUCAGGCAAAAUGAUGUACCCUGUUCUCUUGUUUUACAGAGGACAUUGCUUAUAUGUUUGUUAUCACACUUUCUGCAGCUUCUGAGGAGGUUCAAAGCACAGGUUUGGAGCUGGAAUGCCUGGUUCAAACCUUGGCUCCACUGAUUGCUCGCUGUGUGUCUGGGGCAAGUCAGUCAUCCUCAGCCUCAUUGGUCUUAGCUGUAAAAUGGACCACACUGUAACAGUACUCAACCUCAUAGGGUUAUGGGAGGAUUCAUUGAGAUAAUGGGAGUCACAGGCUUGGCUCAUUGCCUGGCAUGUAGUGAGGGUUUGAUAAAUGUCAACCAUCAGAUUAUUACUACUUGGUGCCUCCCUCCUAGAUGGUGAGCCAGCUGGAGUACAGAGAGUCAUGUCUUACCAGCUCAUUGCCUGAUGUGUAGUAGGCAUGAGAUAAGAGUAUCUUGAAUGAAUGAGGACAUCUGAAGAAGAUACCAUUCCAGCCUUCCCAGGCAAUAGUGCACCCAGCUCUGUGGGUGUAUCACAGAGAGACAGAGAUAAGAGAAAUCGGUUUCACAUGUUAAGCGCUGACCGGCUCCGUAAGAAAAAGCUGUCCUACACCGCUAAGCGUGUUCAACAGUGGCGACUGUCUUUUAAAAGGAAACCAAAGCUGUUGCCCAUCCUUUUCCAACAGAGAAGACAAGAGAUGGGUUGGGCAGCCAGAGUCCAGAUGUCAGACCUCAGGUGCUCAUAAGUCUGCUAACAUCUUGGGAUGCUUUGGUGGCUUGGCGGAUUUAAUAUUUAUUCAGGGCCCCUUUAAGCGAGGAGAUUCCUGGAGGCUCUUAAAAUUUAAUGCCCCACCUGGAUAGUCAACAUCUGUGUUUUAUUUUGUUUUAAAAAAGUUAACCCCAAAUAGUUCAAAUUCCUUCUGCGUCCCUUGGAGAAGAAUUUCUUAUUAGGCGACUCAUAAGUAGGGAGACAGAGAAGCUAAGGCUAGACCAGUACCAACCAGGAGAGAUAAUAUCGAGGGCCACAAACACAGGACAUGUAUGGAAUCUUAAAUUUUCUCAUUAAGAUGCCACAUUAAAAAAAGUAAAAAAAUAGGUGAAAUUAAUUUUAAUGCCAUCUUAACACAAUAUACCAAAAGUAUUAUCAUUUCAACAGGUAGUCAGUUAAAAAAGUAUAGUAAGGUUUUAAAAUCUUUAAGUUUUUGAGAUGCAGUACGUAGUUUACACCCAUAGCUCAUCUAAGUUUGGCCUAGUCACAUUUCGAGUGCUGAACCUGUGGUUAAGGGCCACUGUGUUAAUAGGAUGGUGCAGGUCAAGAUAAUACGUGCAAAGGCAAGGCAUCUUUUCUUCUCCUUCCAGUUGUCCAAUGAGCUAUGCACAGAAAUGUGGGGGAACUGGAGGUACACUGGGCCAAUCAAGGCUCUGAGGCUACUGACUCUGCUUAGCUGCAAGUGACUUUCGUGCUUUGCUGCAAGUGACUUUCAGGCCACAUGGGUCCCCAGUUCAGGGGACCCCUGAACCCCCAGUUCAGUGGGCCCCUAUGCUCUGAUACUGGAGAAGCCAUGUGAUUUAGUGCUCUCUCUCACUUGACAAAAUAGGAAACUGAGGUCCAGAGAGGUGGAGUAGUUUGGCCUAAGAGAGCUGGAAAGACAAUAAAAAUAAUAGUAUCUGAUAAAAUAUCUAACACUUAUUGAAUCACUUUUGUAUUACGUGAGCUUUUACAUGUAUUAUCUCCUUAAACUCUCAUAACCACCCAAUGAGAAGGCACUCUUAUUUCUAUUUUGUACAUAAAGAGAUCUGGGCUCAGAGGAAUUAAAUAUUAAAGCAGCUAAUAUUUACUGACAGCUAUUCUAAGGACUUCAUAUGCAUAUACAUUAAUUCUAUUAUUUACUAUAAACCUACACAUUAGGAAUUAUCAUCAUUAUGGUCACUGUCAUUCCACAUUACAGAUGGGGAAAGAGGCUGAGAGGGGCUAUGUAACGUGCCUAAAAUGCAGCCAGUACAUGAUGGAGGCAGGAUUUGAGCCCAGAGUCUAAGCUCUCAAUUACAAAUUGUGCCCAAAGUCGGCCAGCUGUGCAAUGGCAAAGCUGAUAUUUGAGCAGAGAGAUCUGUUCCCUGGUCCAGAGUCUUUCUUUCUCACCCUGCUUUACUGCCUGCAUCAUACUCCUCUUGAUUCCUGGCACUUUCCGCCUCAUUGUGCUGCCAGUGAGAACCAGAACAGGGAGGAUCUGGACUCCAGCACCGAUUGAGGGUCCAGCCAAAGCAGGCACGUGUUUCCUCUGGCUUGGCUGAUUCCCAGCCUGCCUGAGCCCCUAAAGGCCGAAUUCCUGGCCCAGGGCAUGAGGGUGGGAAGAGGGUGCAUGAGGCCACUUGUCCAUUCUGCCUUCCCAGUUGGGCGAGGUCAGCGUACCAGGUUGGAAAAUGGUAUGCGUCUAAUUGCAGGGGGGGAGGCAGAGAGGAUUAGCGCUCUUUAAAUAGACACCAGAAAACUAAGAAUAGCCUUGCUGCCGGGAAAUUGAUGGGUAUUCCUGACCACAGGCCAUCCCACCUAGUAGGUGCUCAAUAAACACGGGUGAACUACAGGAAUAAACAAAUACUGAAAACGGGUCAUGGUGGGGGGGCCUUGGCCAGUGAGGCUGUGCUCUAUAAAAAAGAACUUCAGACUUAGGUUAUUUGGGUCUCCCUGCAGGCUGGAGACCUAUGUUACUUUUACUUGUCUACUUUUGCUGUCUUGAGGCCAAUGUCUUUUAUUUUGGGCCAGAAAAACAACAGACAGUGAGAAUGUCAGAGAAAGACAAAUUCACUUUGCUGGUUGCCUGCUGUCCCACCAGGCUAGAAAGAUGUGAAUUCCUUCCUUUUGUUCUAUCAUCACGACUUUAGUGUUCUCUGGAACACUUUGCAGAUUCUAGUUCUUUGGAGCCUCAAGACAUGAACCUCCAAAUUUGUCAUCAGACUGUUACCCAUUCUCUGAUACCGAGUUCCUAGGUCCUUCCUGAAGGCUGGCUACCUCUUUGUCUGGCUCAGAAGAAUUGAGGUUGCCUUCCUGGCAGAAAUUCAGCAACGCCACCUCUGGUAAUUUAUCAGAUGAGCUGUGAGGUUAGGGGCAAGGAAGGUUUCCGUGUACUGUGGGAAAGCCUACAGCAGUGUUUCCCAGGGUGUGAUCUUCUGAACACCAGCCCUGAGAGAUGUUCUUUCAGCCAACGCAUUUAGGAAAGCUGUUUAUUGUAUCUCCCUUUUGGAGAUGCACAAUGACCAUUAGCAUAGUAAAGGCUCCGUGAAGUCCUGCUGUGCGGCAACCUGUUUAGUUCUGUUUCAUCCAGUGCUUCCCUGAUCAAGGGACCAAUUUUUGCCAGAAACAUCUCUAAGCCCCACUGGUGAGACCCUGCCCAGGGCUGUAGAUGCUGGUUCUUGGAAGGAGGAAAGGAGGCUUCCUGCUUACUUGCUGGAUGAGAAGUACUACAUGAAGGUUUAAGAGGCUGAACAGGUUUUGCCAGACACUGCUAAUUAAUUCUCUCACUGCUCAUUUUAUGGAUGAUAAAAGGAAAGGAGAGACACGUUAAUUGGCUUGGAGGUCCUGAGCCAAGCAUGACCAAUCUGAGAAAUCCAGGUGACUUCACGCUUUUCCAGCUUUCAGCCCUACACUAGAGAAUUUCAUAUUUCUGAGCAUGAAGAAACCUUCCGUAGGGCUGGUUGGACAGACAGUGGAAAGCGUUAGAAAGAGAUGGAAGUUGAAGUCAAAUAGACUUGAGGUUGAAUCUCAGCUCUGCCUUUUACUCAUGGGAUAAGUUUAAUCACAAUGUAAAUUCUGAGUCUUGGUUUUCCCAACUGCAAAGGGGAAGAACCCCAUUUACAAUGCAGGGCCGACGGGAAGAUGGGUGAGCCCCAUCAGCGGUACCUGGGCUCUCAGCAAAUGCUGAGCUAAAGCUGAAUUUGAAAAGCAUGUUCUUUACUUUUCAAUGAAGAGCUGCUCUCUCUCUCCUGCAAACCACUGAGAUGUCAUCAGUGCUAUGCUAAUAAAAACUGAAGCCAAAAAACGUUGGUGUGGCUCUUCAUGGAGGCAGUUUAUAUAAAUGGGUAUAAUGAAGAGAUCAAAGAAAGGCAAAUGACUUGGUGAAUGGAGAGAAAAUGGGGUGGAGACCUCUGCUCUAGUCUUAAAGCUAGUUCUGAGAUCAAAGAGUUAAGAAUGUCAGACAGAUCAGAUGGAGAAACAGAGGCCCAGAGAGGUGAGGCCCUUCCCAGGGGUCACAGGGCUGAUUGAGGAGUGGGAGGCAGCUUCCGGUGAUCACAGUUCUGAGCCAGGUAUCUCACUGCCCCAUGGAGUCCCUCUUGUCACUCUAUGCCCCACCCAAUGGAGGGACACUUUGGGGAGAAAAUUGGAGCCUCAUGUGGCCCCCCAGCACUUUGGAGCCCCUCCUGCCUGUCCUUUCCUUGACUGCCAGCAUCUAGUUUGUUUCGUGUGCUGAUGUCUUUAGGGAUUUCUGGAUAGGGUCCCCGGACUGGGCACAGUGGUGUGGGGAAUCCAGGCACUUGUACUGUCUACCCUCAUAGAGUUUGGUCUCUCACCUUCACGCUACUGAUGAGAAAAGCAACUGGUAUAGCCUCUUUGGUGGAAAAUGUGGCCUUGAGAAUCAAGAAUCUCAGAAUUGUGCAUACCCUUUAACCUGCAGUCUCAUUUCUAGAGAUUAAGUCCAAAGGACUAAUAAAGCAAUGGGGUCCAUGGCUGCAUUGUUCAUCCUGCACACACACAAAGGAUUAAUCUCAAUGUCUAUCAAUGUGCUUAAAUUAUGGUGCCUUCAUACAGUGGACAACUGGGUAGCCAUAAAAUAGCUUGAAGUAGUCCCUAAAUAUUUAUGUGGGAAUAUUUCCAUGCUGCUGGGUAAUAGAAGACAGUUUUGGGUAACAGAAGACAGUUAAAAAAAGGUAUGAAUAUGAGUACAGAUGUAUACAAGAAAGUCUGAAUGUCUAUAUACGAAAUAUCAGCCCUCAUUACCUCUCAGUUGUGGGAUCUGGGGUGGUUUUAAUUCUGACCAUUAUUUUCAGGAAAAUGAAAUUUCACAAUGGUGACACAUUAUUUUUAUAAUGAGAUAAAAAAAAAAAACAAUGGUGGGAAAGUAAGGACUCAGCUGAUCCCCCUCGACUGGGUCUAGAGUACUGCUGUGGGAAGCCAGUAGCAGCCUGCCCCUUUCCUGGGUGCUCACCUUUGGCUCCUGGGGGUGGGGGCCACUCUGUCCUCAUGGGUUCCCUGGAAGCCCCUACCGCUCAUCUGUCCUGCUUUCGGGGACCUGUGCUGGAUUUCCCCAUGUCUCUGGGUGACCUGCAGUGGUGGUGGGAGCAGGGCUGCUGGCACUCGCCAAAGGGGAUGUGGGAAGGGGGUGUUCCCAUUGUGGGCUGUGGGCAGGGUGGGUUUCCUCUACUUCUCUUCUCAAUAGAUGCGCCAGAUCUGCACCUGGGGGUUUGCCAGAGUGUCAACCUCUGAGAAACCAGGAUGCAGUGGACCCUCCCUGUCCCAGUCCAGAAACAGCAAGGGUGCCAUGGGCUGGCACAGAGCUGGCCAAGCGUGGCAGGGUGGGGUCUGGGGCCGGCUGAGCGACCACCAGCAGGAGGAAGAGUUGGAGGGAAGGAGAAGCAUCACCAAGAGAAACUUGGGCCAUAAGGGCUGGGCUCUGGACAUGCAGCCUGGUGACCGGCUGAGGCCAGAAGAGACUUGCUAGGCUUUCAGGGGCAGGGAGUGAAUGGUCCACUCAGAGGGAAAAGAAAUAAUGAAAUCCUCCGUUGUCCGUGGGAUCUCAUCAGAGCUCCCAUCUCCAUACCUAGGAAAUUGGUGUCCUGUGUGCAAGGUGAUGGUAGGGGAAAGUCUUCUGGCACCUAUGGAUGUAGAGGUAACGGAGAGAUGCCUUAGGAAGUCACCACAUAGGCAAAAAGCUACAUUUAGGAAGUCUGAGAGCCCUUCAAUCCCUCUAAAAUACAGUGCUAUCUUUCAAUAAUUCCAUCUGAGCCAGCUCUUCCUUCAGCAUUUGCACGAAAUCACCAUUCAGCCUCGGAUAGAGGGGCUGGGUUGUUUCUGGAGGAAUGGGAGGGAAGGGCCCAACCUAAGAUAAUCACUUGUUGUGUCUCUGAAUUCCUUGGCCAUACAGGGUCUGCCACCACUGAGGCAGAGGAUCCCUGGCAGAGCUCACUUACAAAUCAGGGGUGGGAGGAACUGGCCAGACCUUUUAAAACUGAGAAUAGGUAUUAUAUAUAUAUAUUUUUUUUCCAAUAAAAUAUAUUUAAGUUAUGCCAAACAGAAUCACUGAGUUCAGACUGGUUAAAGGUGUGCAUGUAUGGUGUAAAUUCCCUGUACACAUAUAGAAGUUACUUUUAUUAGUUGAAUGUGUUAUUCUCAUAGCUUUUUUUUUUUUUUUUUUUUUUUU